UCCCUGGUGGCUCAGAUGGUAAAGCAUCUGCCUACAAUGCAGGAGAUCCAGGUUCAAUCCCUGGGUUGGGAA
rnacentral:tRNA from 1 species